GACGAACGCUGGCGGCGUGCCUAAUACAUGCAAGUAGAACGCUGAAGAGAGGAGCUUGCUCUUCUUGGAUGAGUUGCGAACGGGUGAGUAACGCGUAGGUAACCUGCCUUGUAGCGGGGGAUCACUAUUGGAAACGAUAGCUAAUACCGCAUAACAAUGGAUGACACAUGUCAUUUAUUUGAAAGGGGCAAUUGCUCCACUACAAGAUGGACCUGCGUUGUAUUAGCUAGUAGGUGAGGUAAUGGCUCACCUAGGCGACGAUACAUAGCCGACCUGAGAGGGUGAGCGGCCACACUGGGACGGAGACACGGCCCAUACUCCUACGGGAGGCAGCAGUAGGGAAUCGUCGGGAAUGGGGGCAACACUGACCGAGCAACGCCGCGUGAGUGAAGAAGGUUGUCGGAUCGUAAAGCUCUGUUGUAAGUCAAGAACGGGUGUGAGAGUGGAAAGUUCACACUGUGACGGUAGCUGACCAGAAAGGGACGGCUAACUACGUG
rnacentral:rRNA from 1 species